GACGAACGCUGGCGGCGUGCUUAACACAUGCAAGUCGAACGGAAAGGCGCUGCUUUUGCGGGGCGCUCGAGAGGCGAACGCGGGAGUAACACGUGAGUAACCUGCCCUUGACUUUGGGGUAACUUCAGGAAACUGGGGCGAAUACAGGAUAGGAGCUCCUGCUGCACGGGGGGGGUUGGAAAAAUUCGGCGGUGGGGGAUGGUCUCGCGGGUUAUCAGCUUGUUGGUCGGGUAGUGGCUUACCAAGGCUUUGACGGGUAGCCGGCCUGGGAGGGUGACCGGCCACAAUGCGCCUGCGGUACGGCGCAGACUCCUACGGGAGGCAGCGGUCGGGAAUCUUGCGCAAUGGGCGCACGCCUGAUACAGCAGCCUCGCGUGCGUGAUGCUGGGCUUCGGGUUGUAAACCGCUUUCGCCGGUGACGAACCCUGAGUGACGGUAAUGGGUAAGAAAGCACCGGCUAACUACGUG
rnacentral:rRNA from 1 species